AGCGUAGGCGGACAUUUAAGUCAGGGGUGAAAUCCCGGAGCUCAACUCCGGAACUGCCUUUGAUACUGGGUGUCUUGAGUGUGAGAGAGGUAUGUGGAACUCCGAGUGUAGAGGUGAAAUUCGUAGAUAUUCGGAAGAACACCAGUGGCGAAGGCGACAUACUGGCUCAUUACUGACGCUGAGGCUCGAAAGCGUGGGAGCAAACA
rnacentral:rRNA from 1 species